rnacentral:rRNA from 1 species
GAUGAACGCUGGCGGCGUGCCUAAUACAUGCAAGUAGAACGCUGAAGGAGGAGCUUGCUCUUCUGGAUGAGUUGCGAACGGGUGAGUAACGCGUAGGUAACCUGCCUGGUAGCGGGGGAUAACUAUUGGAAACGAUAGCUAAUACCGCAUGACAACAGUUAUUGCAUGAUAACUGUUUAAAAGGGGCAACUGCUCCACUACCAGGUGGACCUGCGUUGUAUUAGCUAGUUGGUGAGGUAACGGCUCACCAAGGCGACGAUACAUAGCCGACCUGAGAGGGGGAUCGGCCACACUGGGACUGAGACACGGCCCAGACUCCUACGGGAGGCAGCAGUAGGGAAUCUUCGGCAAUGGACGGAAGUCUGACCGAGCAACGCCGCGUGAGUGAAGAAGGUUUUCGGAUCGUAAAGCUCUGUUGUAAGAGAAGAACGAGUGUGAGAGUGGAAAGUUCACACUGUGACGGUAUCUUACCAGAAAGGGACGGCUAACUACGUG